ensembl:lncRNA
CAGAAAUCGAAUAUCAAUAUUAUUUUAGUCUAAUUACAUUGUGUAUAUGCACAAGCCAUCUUAUACAAAGCAGCGAAAAAUAGAAAACCGAAACGCUGCAAUGUUUUUUUGUAGAAAAUUGCUUUUAUGUUUAUACUGGUUUUCUUUGACUUUUAGAGACACGUCAGUGUAAUUAUGAAUGGCGAGAGCCCUGAAAUACAGCUGGACAGCAGCGGUCUACAUCACUGCCCCUUCUGCAGAUACAAAGGGUCAAAAUGUGAUAUCGACCAUCACAUUAAAUGCCAUGCCUCGGUUAAAUACAGAGGUCUGCAGAGGAGCUUUCAGGAAGCAGGAAGAGAAGACGGGAGGAAAAAAAAGCUACAGGAUAAAGAUCUCUGCACAAAAAGGGCUAGAGUUGCUCGAACAGCAUCCAGCUCUGAAGGAUCAGGUCAUGUAUAGACUGUUAAUCCAGACAAAACUGAAGACCAGGAACUGGAACCUGGGAACCUGGUAUAUAAUAUGAAGAUUAUGUUGUCCUGAAGGACACAAUUCAGGCAGCAGCAUGGUGCCAGUUACAGUCCUUCAAGGACAGCGUUUCUCUCCCAGAGGUCAUUGGGAUGGAAGGUUGGGAGCAGAUGGCAGCUUCAACACAGCGCAAAUCCCAUGACGGCGGGGAUGAGGAAGAAACGUGGAAACCAUUCCAAUUCUCAUUCAGAUUACAUACUGACUAUGAACUGUUCUGUGUGGAGAGGAUGGACAGGAGAAACCUGAAGGUGUUUGCCUCUUUUGAGUCAAACACCUCUCCCCCUCCCCGUCCCCCCUUCCCGUGACGCCUGCGCCACACGACUCCAAUGUAGUCUGAUGAUGCAGCAUAAUGGCGGCGCUUGGCAGCUAUGGCGGCGGUGACGGCGAUGUCGGGCGACAGAGCGUGAAGCAAGAGUGGCAUCCACCUCACUGAGGAAGGCGUCAGUGUGUUCCCC